rnacentral:rRNA from 1 species
GACGAACGCUGGCGGCGUGCUUAACACAUGCAAGUCGAACGGUGAGGCGCUUUCCUCUUUGGUGGGUGUGGACGAGUGGCUAACGGGUGAGUAACACGUGUGUAACCUGCUCCCUUCUUCUGGAUAACCGCAUGAAAGUGUGGCUAAUACGGGAUAUUCUGGGUCUGUUGCAUGAUGGGUCUGGGAAAGGUAUUGUUUCGGUGCGGGCUGGGCUCGCGGUCUAUCAGCUUGUUGGUGGGGUGAUGGCGUAGCAAGGCGGUGACGGGUAGCCGGCCUGGGAGGGUGGACGGUCACGCUGGGAAUGGGGCACGGCAGAGACUGGUACGGGAGGCAGCGGCGGGGAAUAUUGCACAGUGGGCGCAAGGCUGGUGCGGCGACGGCGGGGGAGCGAUGGGGGCCUGCGGGUUGUGAGGCUCUUUAGCUAGUGAAGCAGGGCUGCAUGGACUGUGGGUGGGUUGACGGUAGCUGGAUAAGAAGCGCCGGCUAACUACGUG